rnacentral:rRNA from 1 species
AACGAACGCUGGCGGCAGGCCUAACACAUGCAAGUCGAGCGCCCCAGCGAUGGGAGCGGCGGACGGGUGAGUAACGCGUGGGAACGUGCCUCUUGCUACGGAAUAGCCUCGGGAAACUGGGAGUAAUACCGUAUGUGCCCUACGGGGGAAAGAUUUAUCGGCAAGAGAUCGGCCCGCGUUGGAUUAGGUAGUUGGUGGGGUAAUGGCCUACCAAGCCGACGAUCCAUAGCUGGUUUGAGAGGAUGAUCAGCCACACUGGGACUGAGACACGGCCCAGACUCCUACGGGAGGCAGCAGUGGGGAAUCUUGCGCAAUGGGCGAAAGCCUGACGCAGCAACGCCGCGUGAGUGAUGAAGGCCCUAGGGUUGUAAAGCUCUUUCAGAUGGGAAGAUAAUGACGGUACCAUCAGAAGAAGCCCCGGCUAACUCCGUG